rnacentral:rRNA from 1 species
UACGAAGGGGGCUAGCGUUGUUCGGAAUCACUGGGCGUAAAGCGCACGUAGGCGGCGCGUUAAGUCAGGGGUGAAAUCCUGGAGCUCAACUCCAGAACUGCCUUUGAUACUGGCGUGCUCGAGUGUGGGAGAGGUUGGUGGAACUCCGAGUGUAGAGGUGAAAUUCGUAGAGAUUCGGAAGAACACCAGUGGCGAAGGCGGCCAACUGGCCCAUUACUGACGAUGAGGUGCGAAAGAGUGGGGAGCAAACAGG